rnacentral:rRNA from 1 species
AUACGGAGGGUGCAAGCGUUAAUCGGAAUUACUGGGCGUAAAGCGCGCGUAGGCGGUUUGGUAAGUCGGAUGUGAAAGCCCCGGGCUCAACCUGGGAAUUGCAUUCGAUACUGCCAGACUAGAGUAUGGUAGAGGGAAGUGGAAUUCCGGGUGUAGCGGUGAAAUGCGUAGAUAUCCGGAGGAACACCAGUGGCGAAGGCGACUUCCUGGACCAAUACUGACGCUGAGGUGCGAAAGCGCGGGGAGCAAACAGGAUUAGAAACCCUAGUAGUCC